UAGCAACACAAACAUAGAAAAAUUGUCUCAGUAAUUUUAGAAUUAUUACUUUUCUCUGAAGCUAGAGUCGGAAGCUCAUUACUUUUAUUUCACCUAAUCAACUUCAAAUUAUCUUCUGCAGGUAGUUCACAUCCAGAAAUCUGAUUUGCAGCUUGCAAACAAUGGUUUUCCAAAUGAUAUCUAGAAACUAAGAUGUUGAUGUUUGUACAAAGCUUUGCGUUUCUCAGAUCCAGUUGAGGACCUUGGAAAGGCGCUCCAAGGAAGAGAUAUGCUUCCAUGCCAGGGAGCAAGGGAAGAACACGACUGAGGACUGAGGAAUCCUUUUAUGAUAAUCCAUUAUUGAGUGCAUCUGUCUGACUGGGAAGCACACAUGUGAUGCUGCGGUAUAGGCCCUGAUUCUUUUCUUCACAAAAUGGUCACUAUGGGAAAGUCUAAGGAGGACAAUACCUCAGGUCAUAAAAAACAUAU